AUGGCUCAGAUUGAACGCUGGCGGCAGGCCUAACACAUGCAAGUCGAACGGUAACAGGAAGCAGCUUGCUGCUUGCUGACGAGUGGCGGACGGGUGAGUAAUGUCUGGGAAACUGCCCGAUGGAGGGGGAUAACUACUGGAAACGGUAGCUAAUACCGCAUAAUGCCGCAAGACCAAAGAGGGGGACCUUCGGGCCUCUUGCCAUCGGAUGUGCCCAGAUGGGAUUAGCUUGUUGGUGAGGUAACGGCUCACCAAGGCGACGAUCCCUAGCUGGUCUGAGAGGAUGACCAGCCACACUGGAACUGAGACACGGUCCAGACUCCUACGGGAGGCAGCAGUGGGGAAUAUUGCACAAUGGGCGCAAGCCUGAUGCAGCCAUGCCGCGUGUAUGAAGAAGGCCUUCGGGUUGUAAAGUACUUUCAGCGGGGAGGAAGGGGUUAAGGUUAAUAACCUUAGCCAUUGACGUUACCCGCAGAAGAAGCACCGGCUAACUCCGUGCCAGCAGCGGC
rnacentral:rRNA from 1 species